rnacentral:tRNA from 3 species
GGGCGCUUAGCUCAGCUGGAAGAGCGCUUGGUUUGCAACCAAGCGGCCGUGGGUUCAAAUCCCACAGCGUCCACCA